GGUGAGUAACACGUGGGCAAUCUGCCCUGCACUCUGGGACAAGCCCUGGAAACGGGGUCUAAUACCGGAUACUGACCCGCUUGGGCAUCCAAGCGGUUCGAAAGCUCCGGCGGUGCAGGAUGAGCCCGCGGCCUAUCAGCUUGUUGGUGAGGUAAUGGCUCACCAAGGCGACGACGGGUAGCCGGCCUGAGAGGGCGACCGGCCACACUGGGACUGAGACACGGCCCAGACUCCUACGGGAGGCAGCAGUGGGGAAUAUUGCACAAUGGGCGAAAGCCUGAUGCAGCGACGCCGCGUGAGGGAUGACGGCCUUCGGGUUGUAAACCUCUUUCAGCAGGGAAGAAGCGAAAGUGACGGUACCUGCAGAAGAAGCGCCGGCUAACUACGUGCCAGCAGCCGCGGUAAUACGUAGGGCGCGAGCGUUGUCCGGAAUUAUUGGGCGUAAAGAGCUCGUAGGCGGCUUGUCACGUCGGUUGUGAAAGCCCGGGGCUUAACCCCGGGUCUGCAGUCGAUACGGGCAGGCUAGAGUUCGGUAGGGGAGAUCGGAAUUCCUGGUGUAGCGGUGAAAUGCGCAGAUAUCAGGAGGAACACCGGUGGCGAAGGCGGAUCUCUGGGCCGAUACUGACGCUG
rnacentral:rRNA from 1 species